UAAGUAGUUAAGUUUAGCGAUGUUAGUGUGUGUCUGCUACUAGAUUAAAUUAGUUCACAGGAGUAAAGUUAAAGUCAUAGGAGUCUUUUCUCACUCGUCGUCCUCCCACCUGGCUAGAACUCUACCAUUUAUCUUUAGAUUAGGAUCUGUGUGAGAUCAGUUACCUAUCCUUACCUAUACUUGACCCUUUGAAGGACCUUGAGCUUAGUUAGUUCACUUCACAUUCCCCGUGGAAAAUAUGAUACCUGUAAUACUCC
rnacentral:lncRNA from 1 species